UCGUUGGGUAGGGGAGCGUUCUGUAAGCCUGCGAAGGUGGCCUGUGAGGGUUGCUGGAGGUAUCAGAAGUGCGAAUGCUGACAUAAGUAACGAUAAUGCGGGUGAAAAACCCGCACGCCGGAAGACCAAGGGUUCCUGUCCAACGUUAAUCGGGGCAGGGUGAGUCGACCCCUAAGGCGAGGCCGAAAGGCGUAGUCGAUGGGAAACAGGUUAAUAUUCCUGUACCUGGUGUUACUGCGAAGGGGGGACGGAGAAGGCUAUGUUGGCCGGGCGACGGUUGUCCCGGUUUAAGCGUGUAGGCUGGUUUUCCAGGCAAAUCCGGAAAAUCAAGGCUGAGGCGUGACGACGAGGCACUACGGUGCUGAAGCAACAAAUGCCCUGCUUCCAGGAAAAGCCUCUAAGCCUCAGGUAACAUCAGAUCGUACCCGAAACCGACACAGGUGGUCAGGUAGAGAAUACCAAGGCGCUUGAGAGAACCCGGGUGAAGGAACUAGGCAAAAUGGUGCCGUAACUUCGGGAGAAGGCACGCUGACACGUAGGUGAAGCGGUUUACCCGUGGAGCUGAAGUCAGUCGAAGAUACCAGCUGGCUGCAACUGUUUAUUAAAAACACAGCACUGUGCAAACACGAAAGUGGACGUAUACGGUGUGACGCCUGCCCGGUGCCGGAAGGUUAAUUGAUGGGGUCAGCGCAAGCGAAGCUCCUGAUCGAAGCCCCGGUAAACGGCGGCCGUAACUAUAACGGUCCUAAGGUAGCGAAAUUCCUUGUCGGGUAAGUUCCGACCUGCACGAAUGGCGUAAUGAUGGCCAGGCUGUCUCCACCCGGGACUCAGUGAAAUUGAACUCGCUGUGAAGAUGCAGUGUACCCGCGGCAAGACGGAAAGACCCCGUGAACCUUUACUAUAGCUUGACACUGAACACUGGUCCUUGAUGUGCAGGAUAGGUGGGAGGCUUUGAAGUGUGGACGCCAGUCUGCAUGGAGCCGUCCUUGAAAUACCACCCUUUAAUGGCUGGUGUUCUAACGUAGACCCGUGAACCGGGUUGCGGACAGUGUCUGGUGGGUAGUUUGACUGGGGCGGUCUCCUCCUAAAGCGUAACGGAGGAGCACGAAGGUUGGCUAAUCCUGGUCGGACAUCAGGAGGUUAGUGCAAUGGCAUAAGCCAGCUUGACUGCGAGCGUGACGGCGCGAGCAGGUGCGAAAGCAGGUCAUAGUGAUCCGGUGGUUCUGAAUGGAAGGGCCAUCGCUCAACGGAUAAAAGGUACUCCGGGGAUAACAGGCUGAUACCGCCCAAGAGUUCAUAUCGACGGCGGUGUUUGGCACCUCGAUGUCGGCUCAUCACAUCCUGGGGCUGAAGUAGGUCCCAAGGGUAUGGCUGUUCGCCAUUUAAAGUGGUACGCGAGCUGGGUUUAGAACGUCGUGAGACAGUUCGGUCCCUAUCUGCCGUGGGCGCUGGAGAACUGAGGGGGGCUGCUCCUAGUACGAGAGGACCGGAGUGGACGCAUCACUGGUGUUCGGGUUGUCAUGCCAAUGGCACUGCCCGGUAGCUAAAUGCGGAAGAGAUAAGUGCUGAAAGCAUCUAAGCACGAAACUUGCCCCGAGAUGAGUUCUCCCUGAGACUACAAGUCUCCUGAAGGAACGUUGAAGACGACGACGUUGAUAGGCCGGGUGUGUAAGCGCAGCGAUGCGUUGAGCUAACCGGUACUAAUGAACCGUGAGGCUUAACCUUACAACGCCGAAG
rnacentral:rRNA from 2 species